GGAGGGAAACCGAGUCUUAACCGGGCGUUAAGUUGCAGGGUAUAGACCCGAAACCCGGUGAUCUAGCCAUGGGCAGGUUGAAGGUUGGGUAACACUAACUGGAGGACCGAACCGACUAAUGUUGAAAAAUUAGCGGAUGACCUGUGGCUGGGGGUGAAAGGCCAAUCAAACCGGGAGAUAGCUGGUUCUCCCCGAAAGCUAUUUAGGUAGCGCCUCGUGAAUUCAUCUCCGGGGGUAGAGCACUGUUUCGGCUAGGGGGCCAUCCCGGCUUACCAACCCGAUGCAAACUGCGAAUACCGGAGAAUGUUAUCACGGGAGACACACGGCGGGUGCUAACGUCCGUCGUGAAGAGGGAAACAACCCAGACCGCCAGCUAAGGUCCCAAAGUCAUGGUUAAGUGGGAAACGAUGUGGGAAGGCCCAGACAGCCAGGAUGUUGGCUUAGAAGCAGCCAUCAUUUAAAGAAAGCGUAAUAGCUCACUGGUCGAGUCGGCCUGCGCGGAAGAUGUAACGGGGCUAAACCAUGCACCGAAGCUGCGGCAGCGACACUGUGUGUUGUUGGGUAGGGGAGCGUUCUGUAAGCCUGUGAAGGUGUGUCGUGAGGCAUGCUGGAGGUAUCAGAAGUGCGAAUGCUGACAUAAGUAACGAUAAAGCGGGUGAAAAGCCCGCUCGCCGGAAGACCAAGGGUUCCUGUCCAACGUUAAUCGGGGCAGGGUGAGUCGACCCCUAAGGCGAGGCCGAAAGGCGUAGUCGAUGGGAAACGGGUUAAUAUUCCCGUACUUGGUGUUACUGCGAAGGGGGGACGGAGAAGGCUAUGUUGGCCGGGCGACGGUUGUCCCGGUUUAAGCGUGUAGGUGUGUGUUCCAGGUAAAUCCGGUUCACUUUAACACUGAGGCGUGACGACGAGGCACUACGGUGCUGAAGCAACAAAUGCCCUGCUUCCAGGAAAAGCCUCUAAGCAUCAGGUAACAUCAAAUCGUACCCCAAACCGACACAGGUGGUCAGGUAGAGAAUACCAAGGCGCUUGAGAGAACUCGGGUGAAGGAACUAGGCAAAAUGGUGCCGUAACUUCGGGAGAAGGCACGCUGACACGUAGGUGAAGUGAUUUACUCAUGGAGCUGAAGUCAGUCGAAGAUACCAGCUGGCUGCAACUGUUUAUUAAAAACACAGCACUGUGCAAACACGAAAGUGGACGUAUACGGUGUGACGCCUGCCCGGUGCCGGAAGGUUAAUUGAUGGGGUCAGCGCAAGCGAAGCUCCUGAUCGAAGCCCCGGUAAACGGCGGCCGUAACUAUAACGGUCCUAAGGUAGCGAAAUUCCUUGUCGGGUAAGUUCCGACCUGCACGAAUGGCGUAAUGAUGGCCAGGCUGUCUCCACCCGAGACUCAGUGAAAUUGAACUCGCUGUGAAGAUGCAGUGUACCCGCGGCAAGACGGAAAGACCCCGUGAACCUUUACUAUAGCUUGACACUGAACAUUGAGCCUUGAUGUGUAGGAUAGGUGGGAGGCUUUGAAGUGUGGACGCCAGUCUGCAUGGAGCCGACCUUGAAAUACCACCCUUUAAUGUUUGAUGUUCUAACGUGGACCCGUUACCCGGGUUGCGGACAGUGUCUGGUGGGUAGUUUGACUGGGGCGGUCUCCUCCUAAAGAGUAACGGAGGAGCACGAAGGUUGGCUAAUCCUGGUCGGACAUCAGGAGGUUAGUGCAAUGGCAUAAGCCAGCUUGACUGCGAGCGUGACGGCGCGAGCAGGUGCGAAAGCAGGUCAUAGUGAUCCGGUGGUUCUGAAUGGAAGGGCCAUCGCUCAACGGAUAAAAGGUACUCCGGGGAUAACAGGCUGAUACCGCCCAAGAGUUCAUAUCGACGGCGGUGUUUGGCACCUCGAUGUCGGCUCAUCACAUCCUGGGGCUGAAGUAGGUCCCAAGGGUAUGGCUGUUCGCCAUUUAAAGUGGUACGCGAGCUGGGUUUAGAACGUCGUGAGACAGUUCGGUCCCUAUCUGCCGUGGGCGCUGGAGAACUGAGGGGGGCUGCUCCUAGUACGAGAGGACCGGAGUGGACGCAUCACUGGUGUUCGGGUUGUCAUGCCAAUGGCACUGCCCGGUAGCUAAAUGCGGAAGAGAUAAGUGCUGAAAGCAUCUAAGCACGAAACUUGCCCCGA
rnacentral:rRNA from 1 species